GACGAACGCUGGCGGCGUGCUUAACACAUGCCAGUCGAACGGUAAGGCCCUUUCGGGGGUACACGAGUGGCGAACGGGUGAGUAACACGUGGGUGAUCUGCCCUGCACUUUGGGAUAAGCCUGGGAAACUGGGUCUAAUACCGGAUAGGACUACGCGAUGCAUGUCGUGUGGUGGAAAGCUUUUGCGGUGUGGGAUGGGCCCGCGGCCUAUCAGCUUGUUGGUGGGGUGAUGGCCUACCAAGGCGACGACGGGUAGCCGGCCUGAGAGGGUGUCCGGCCACACUGGGACUGAGAUACGGCCCAGACUCCUACGGGAGGCAGCAGUGGGGAAUAUUGCACAAUGGGCGCAAGCCUGAUGCAGCGACGCCGCGUGGGGGAUGACGGCCUUCGGGUUGUAAACCCCUUUCAGCACAGACGAAGCGUAAGUGACGGUAUGUGCAGAAGAAGCACCGGCCAACUACGUG
rnacentral:rRNA from 1 species